AGGUGGGAGGCUUUGAAACCAGGACGCCAGUUUUGGCGGAGCCAUCCUUGGGAUACCACCCUUGUAGUACUGGGACUCUAACCAUAGGCCAUGAAUCUGGUCUUGGGACACUGUCAGGUGGGCAGUUUGACUGGGGCGGUCGCCUCCCAAAAGGUAACGGAGGCGCUCAAAGGUUCUCUCAGUACGGUCGGAAAUCGUACGUAGAGUGUAAAGGCAAAAGAGAGCUUGAUUGCAAGACAUACAGGUCGAGCAAGGAUGAAAAUCGGACUUAGUGAUCCGGUGGUUCUGCGUGGAAGGGCCAUCGCUCAACGGAUAAAAGCUACCCUGGGGAUAACAGGCUUAUCUCCCCCAAGAGUCCACAUCGACGGGGAGGUUUGGCACCUCGAUGUCGGCUCAUCACAUCCUGGGGCUGUAGUAGGUCCCAAGGGUUGGGCUGUUCGCCCAUUAAAGUGGUACGCGAGCUGGGUUCAGAACGUCGUGAGACAGUUCGGUCCCUAUCCGUCGCAGGCGUAGGAAAUUUGAGAAGACCUGUCCUUAGUACGAGAGGACCGGGAUGGACGUACCUCUGGUGUACCAGUUGUUCUGCCAAGGGCAUGGCUGGGUAGCUAU
rnacentral:rRNA from 1 species